rnacentral:rRNA from 1 species
GACGAACGCUGGCGGCGUGCUUAACACAUGCAAGUCGAGCGGUAAGGCCCUUCGGGGUACACGAGCGGCGAACGGGUGAGUAACACGUGGGUGACCUGCCCUCCACUUCGGGAUAAGCCUGGGAAACUGGGUCUAAUACCGGAUAGGACCAUUGGAUGCAUGUCUGGUGGUGGAAAGUUUUUUCGGUGGGGGAUGGGCCCGCGGUCUAUCAGCUUGUUGGUGGGGUGAUGGCCUACCAAGGCGACGACGGAUAGCCGGCCUGAGAGGGUGAUCGGCCACACUGGGACUGAGACACGGCCCAGACUCCUACGGGAGGCAGCAGUGGGGAAUCUUGCGCAAUGGGCGGAAGCCUGACGCAGCAACGCCGCGUGAGGGAUGACGGCCUUCGGGUUGUAAACCUCUUUCGCGAUCGACGAAGGUCCGCCUUUUGGUGGGCUGACGGUAGGUCGAGAAGAAGCACCGGCCAACUACGUG